rnacentral:rRNA from 1 species
CCUACGGGUGGCAGCAGUGAGGAAUAUUGGUCAAUGGGCGGAAGCCUGAACCAGCCAAGUAGCGUGCAGGAUGACGGCCCUACGGGUUGUAAACUGCUUUUAUACGGGAAUAACGCGCCUUACGUGUAGGGCUUUGCAUGUACCGUAUGAAUAAGGACCGGCUAAUUCCGUGCCAGCAGCCGCGGUAAUACGGAAGGUCCGGGCGUUAUCCGGAUUUAUUGGGUUUAAAGGGAGCGUAGGCGGGCAUUUAAGCCGGCGGUCAAAUGUCGGGGCUCAACCCCGGCCUGCCGUCGGAACUGGGUGCCUUGAGUGGGCGAGAAGUAUGCGGAAUGCGUGGUGUAGCGGUGAAAUGCUUAGAUAUCACGAAGAACUCCGAUUGCGAAGGCAGCUCACUGGACUGCAACUGACACUGAGGCUCGAAAGUGUGGGUAUCAAACAGGAUUAGAUACCCCAGUAGUC